rnacentral:tRNA from 1 species
GGGGAUGCAGCUCAGUGGUAGAGCACUCACCUAGAAUGUGAGAGGUCCUGGAUUCCACCCCCA